UCGGUCCUACGGGGGGCAGCAGUGGGGGAUAUUGCGCAAUGGGGGGAACCCUGAUGCAGCGACGCCGCGUGGGUGAAGGAGCGUUUCGGCGCGUAAAGCCCUAUCGGCAGGGGAGAAGGAGGACGGUACCUGACUAAGAAGCCCCGGCUAACUACGUGCCAGCAGCCGCGGUAAUACGUAGGGGGCAAGCGUUAUCCGGAUUUACUGGGUGUAAAGGGGGGGCAGACGGCAGCGCAAGCCAGGAGUGAAAGCCCGGGGCCCAACCCCGGGA
rnacentral:rRNA from 1 species